AAAGCCAUAACAGGCCCCAAAGCCAUACACAGGCCUUACCCAAAGCCAUAUACAGGCCUUACCCAAAGCCAUAUACAGGCCUUACCCAAAGCCAUAUACAGGCCUUACCCAAAGCCAUAUACAGGCCUUACCCAAAGCCAUAUACAGGCCUUACCCAAAGCCAUAUAUAAGACUUACUCAAAGCCAUAUACACAGGCCUUACCCAAAGCCAUAUACAGGCCUUACCCAAAGCCAUAUACACAGGCCUUACCCAAAGCCCCAUACACAGGCCUUACCCAAAGCCAUACACAUGCCUUACCCAAAGCCAUACACAGGCCUUACCCAAAGCCAUACACAGGCCUUACCCAAAGCCAUACACAGGCCUUACCCAAAGCCAUAC
ensembl:lncRNA